rnacentral:rRNA from 1 species
GUAUAAGAGACAGCAGCAGCCGCGGGAAUACAGAGGGUGCGAGCGUUAAUCGGAUUUACUGGGCGUAAAGCGUGCGUAGGCGGCUUUUUAAGUCGGAUGUGAAAUCCCUGAGCUUAACUUAGGAAUUGCAUUCGAUACUGGGAAGCUAGAGUAUGGGAGAGGAUGGUAGAAUUCCAGGUGUAGCGGUGAAAUGCGUAGAGAUCUGGAGGAAUACCGAUGGCGAAGGCAGCCAUCUGGCCUAAUACUGACGCUGAGGUACGAAAGCAUGGGGAGCAAACAGGAUUAGAUACCCCGGUAGUCCCUGUCUCUUAUAA